AGUGAACGCUGGCGGUAGGCCUAACACAUGCAAGUCGAACGGCAGCACAGUAAGAGCUUGCUCUUACGGGUGGCGAGUGGCGGACGGGUGAGGAAUACAUCGGAAUCUACUUUUUCGUGGGGGAUAACGUAGGGAAACUUACGCUAAUACCGCAUACGACCUACGGGUGAAAGCAGGGGAUCUUCGGACCUUGCGCGAUUGAAUGAGCCGAUGUCGGAUUAGCUAGUUGGCGGGGUAAAGGCCCACCAAGGCGACGAUCGGUAGCUGGACUGAGAGGAUGAGCAGCAACAAUGAAACUGAAAACGGUCCAAGCCCCAGCCGGGAGGCAGAAGUGGGGAAUAUUGGAAAAGGGGCGCAAGCUUGACCGAGCCAUCCCGGGGGGGUGAAGAAGGCUUCCGAGUGGUAAAGCCCUUUUGUGGGGAAAGAAAAGCAGCAGAUUAAUACCCCGCUGCUCGAACGGUCCCCAAAGAAUAAGCACGGCCUAACUUCGU
rnacentral:rRNA from 1 species